rnacentral:rRNA from 1 species
AGUCGUGCGAGAACGCCCCUUUUGGGGUAAGUACAGCGGCGGACGGGUGAGUAACGCGUGGAUGAUCUACCUGUUGGUAGGGGAUAACCCUGCGAAAGCGGGGCUAAUACCGUAUAUAUUUGCGUAUUAAAUAUGCAGAUAAAGGUGGCCUCUGCUUCAAGCUACCGCCAACAGAUGAGUCCGCGUCCCAUUAGCUAGUCGGUAGGGUAAGGGCCUACCGAGGCGACGAUGGGUAGCUGGUCUGAGAGGAUGAUCAGUCACACUGGCACUGAGACACUGGCCAGACUCCUACGGGAGGCUGCAGCCGAGAAUCUUCGGCAAUGGGCGCAAGCCUGACCGAGCGAUGCCGCGUGGGUGAAGAAGGCUUUCGGGUCGUAAAGCCCUGUCACCCGGGACGAAGCCUGACGGUACCGGGAGAGGAAGCCACGGCUAACUACGUGCCAGCAGCCGCGGUAACACGUAGGUGGCGAGCGUUAUUCGGAAUUACUGGGCGUAAAGGGUCCGCAGGGGGUUUGCCAAGUCUGCUGUGAAAGCCCGCGGCUCAACCGCGGAAGUGCAGUGGAAACUGGCGAACUGGAGUGCACGAGAGGAGAGCGGAAUUCCCGGUGUAGCGGUGGAAUGCGUAGAUAUCGGGAAGAACAUCGACGGCGAAGGCAGCUCUCUGGCGUGUCACUGACCCUCAGGGACGAAAGCGUGGGCAGCGAACAGGAUUAGAUACCCUGGUAGUCCACGCCGUAAACGUUGUGCACUCGAUGCGGGCGGCAGCCCCGUCCGUGUCCAAGUCAACGCGUUAAGUGCACCGCCUGGGGACUACGGCCGCAAGGCUAAAACUCAAAGGAAUUGACGGGGGCCCGCACAACCGGUGGAGCAUGUGGCUCAAUUCGAGGCUACGCGAAGAACCUUACCCGGGCUUGACAUAUACCGGCUUCUCUGUGAAAGCAGGGUUUCCGCCUUGUGCGGACCGGUAUACAGGUGCUGCAUGGCUGUCGUCAGCUCGUGCCGUGAGGUGUUCGGUUAAGUCCGGCAACGAGCGCAACCCGCGCCGCCAGUUACCAGCGGAUAAUGCCGGGGACUCUGGCGGGACUGCCCGUGUCAAGCGGGAGGAAGGCGCGGACGACGUCAAGUCAGUAUGGCCCUUACGCCCGGGGCUGCACACGUGCUACAAUGGCCGGCACAGAGAGAAGCAAUGCCGCGAGGCGGAGCAAAUCUCGAAAACCGGCCUCAGUCCGGAUCGGAGUCUGCAAUUCGACUCCGUGAAGGCGGAAUCGGUAGUAAAGGCGGAUCAGACACGCCGCCUUGAAUACGUUCCCGGGCCUUGUACACACCGCCCGUCACAUCAUGGGAGUCGGAUGCACCCGAAGU